rnacentral:rRNA from 1 species
GAUGAACGCUGGCGGCGUGCCUAAUACAUGCAAGUCGAGCGAACGGACGAGAAGCUUGCUUCUCUGAUGUUAGCGGCGGACGGGUGAGUAACACGUGGAUAACCUACCUAUAAGACUGGGAUAACUUCGGGAAACCGGAGCUAGUACCGGAUAAUAUUUUGAACCGCAUGGUUCAAAGGUAAAAGACGGUCUUGCUGUCACUUAUAGAUGGAUCCGCGCUGCAUUAGCUAGUUGGUAAGGUAACGGCUUACCAAUGCGACGAUGCAUAGCCGACCUGAGAGGACGACAAGUGACCAGGGGACUGAGACACGGCCCAGACUACUACGGGAGGCAGCAGUGUGGAAUAUUGUAUAAUGGGCGAAAGUAUGAUACAGCAAUGACGCGGAAGUGAUGAAGGCAGGAGGGAAGCAAAGCUCUAUUACCAGGGACGAUAAUGACAGUACCGGGAGAAUAAGCGCCGGCUAACUCCGUG